rnacentral:rRNA from 1 species
GACGAACCGUGCGAACGUUAUUCGGAAUCACUGGGCUUAAAGCGCGUGUAGGCGGGGCGGCACGUCGGCCGUUGAAAUCCCCCGGCUCAACCGGGGAAGUGGCGCCGAUACGACCGCCCUGGAGGAACGUAGGGGGAGCUGGAACUUCCGGUGGAGCGGUGAAAUGCGUUGAGAUCGGAAGGAACGCCCGUGGCGAAAGCGAGCUCCUGGACGUUUUCUGACGCUGAGACGCGAAAGCCAGGGGAGCGAACGGG